AACGAACGCUGGCGGCAGGCCUAACACAUGCAAGUCGAGCGCCCUUUCGGGGGAGCGGCGGACGGGUGAGUAACGCGUGGGAAUAUGCCCUUCUCUACGGAAUAGCCUCGGGAAACUGAGAGUAAUACCGUAUACGCCCUGUGGGGGAAAGAUUUAUCGGGGAAGGAUUAGCCCGCGUUGGAUUAGGUAGUUGGUGGGGUAAUGGCCUACCAAGCCGACGAUCCAUAGCUGGUUUGAGAGGAUGAUCAGCCACACUGGGACUGAGACACGGCCCAGACUCCUACGGGAGGCAGCAGUGGGGAAUCUUAGACAAUGGGGGCAACCCUGAUCUAGCCAUGCCGCGUGAGUGAUGAAGGCCUUAGGGUUGUAAAGCUCUUUCAGCUGGGAAGAUAAUUACGGUACCAGCAGAAGAAGCCCCGGCUAACUCCGUG
rnacentral:rRNA from 1 species